UACGUAGGGUGCAAGCGUUAAUCGGAAUUACUGGGCGUAAGCGUGCGCAGGCGGUGAUGUAAGACAGGUGUGAAAUCCCCGGGCUUAACCUGGGAACUGCAUUUGUGACUGCAUCGCUGGAGUGCGGCAGAGGGGGAUGGAAUUCCGCGUGUAGCAGUGAAAUGCGUAGAGAUGUGGAGGAACACCGAUGGCGAAGGCAGCCCCCUGGGCCAAUACUGACGCUCAUGCACGAAAGCGUGGGGAGCAAACAGG
rnacentral:rRNA from 1 species